UAUCCAUCAGAAGAUUCUGUGUGUAUGUGAAACAUGGGCGGUCCGCUGAGGAUGGCUACUUUAGGAGAGGGCCCUUCCCCUGGCGACCAGAACAGGCUGGACAACCACAAGAAGAUCAGCUGCUAGUAGAUGCCACAGAGGAGAAGUUUCCAGUAAGAAGACAAGCCAUCAGAGGUCAAGAUAAAGAAAGGCUGUACUUGGAGCACAAAAGAACAACUUCCUGUUUAAAGUGAGAUCACUGCCACAGGAGGAAAGGUCCAGGACAGUAAAAUCCAAAUAAGGAGCACCACACCUCAGGAGAACACAUCUACAUUCUUCCUCCUCGCCUCCUCGUCAGCAGCACCCUCUCUCGCUCCCCAUCCCGUCUGAGAUACUGCCAUGGACCGCUCGGCGAAGGAGCUGUUCCUCAACUUCAUGAUUGUCUUAAUCACUGUGCUGCUGAUGUGGCUGCUGGUGAAAACUUACCAGGACUGAACCGUGGAGCAACAAGAGAGGAGAAGAAUGAGAGGCAGAGGAGAUGGAGAGACACGUGUGGAGGGAAGCCAGCAUGGUUACUGUAGGACUUUGCUGCUGAUUGAUUGAUUCAGACGCAGUGUUUACAUCUUUUCAUUCUUUUAGUCUAUGGUCACUGGUCUGGUCCAGAGCUCUAGUAUUCCAGUGAGGUCAAAGAAAACCAUGUGAAUGUCCGAGCCAGAUGAGCAGAUUGUCAACGAAAUGUUUUUGUUUUUAAUUUGGCCUUGAAUUUCUGGCAAGAGCCGAAGGGGAACUCACAGUAGAUAUGGGGAGGGAAAAUAAAAAGAAAUAAACAGGGGUUUGAGACUCUACUUUUUGACUGUGGAAGCCUUUUACGUGAUGGCUAAAAUAAAAAUAUGUGUCAUUCAUAUGACCUUUGAUACAUUGAA